AGUUUCGUUUUAUCUGAUUUAUUUUUCUUUCUUCUCCGUUCACAAGGAAAAGAUAGGUUCGGUUUUGAUGACGAGAGAUGCGAAGGAUAUUACAACACAACUAUAUAGUACUAAUAAAAAUAUAAAAACGAGAGAAAAUCGGAGUGGAAAAACGGCAGAUUGGAUCAUGUCAGUUCUACGCAACAACAACAAAAAAAAACGGCCGUCCUAUUUACAAGGCUAUAUUGGUGAGCUAUAUUCUUGUCCCAUCUUUUAUAUUGAUUUUUAUUCAUUCAUUUCCCUUCUCGCAAUUUUCUCCUUCAUCCCGUAAUUCCAAACAUUUUUUUUUCUUUUUUCUUUCUUCUUUUUUUAUGUUUGGAGGUAAACAAUAAUUCGUGCAGCGCUUCGUCUUCCUUUAAUGGUUCCUCGUCGUUUGCAAUCGGAACGAGACACACCAUUUCAAUUCUAUCCCGUCCGUGAUUCUUCUUCUUCAUCGCGAGUUUUCGGCAUCAUCUCGGUGUGCCCUUUGAAAUCGCGCCUAAUUUCCGAGUACAUUCGACAUUGACAAGGACGUUGGCCAUCAACAUGCAAAUUCUAAUUGCAAAGGAUUGACGAGGAGUCACUGCCCUAUGUGGUAUGCAUUUCGUGUUGUAGACACGGUCUAUUGAACGUCUACGUAUGUAUGUGUGUAUGCAGUUGAUUGUAGUGCACCUCGUGUUUGUUGGCUCGGCGAAGAAAAGGAGGUCUGUGUUUAUAAAAGAAUGGACUGGCAAAACAUCGGUUGCCAUGGUGAGGUUCGUUACACAACCCCCAACCAUUGUAAUAAUACGUUCCCAUGAAACUUCUCAGAUUCAUCAAUUUCGUGUACAUUUACAAGUAUUUGAAAUAUAAACAAAAAAAAAGCUA